UAAGUUUACAAGGAAAAACCCAUCAAAGACUGACUUCAAGGAUUUUGAAGUGGAUAUAAGGUAAAAUGCUGUAGAACAGUCACAGUGUGUAUAUAUUGUGCUAUAAGGUUGUCAUCAGUUUUGUCUAAAGUUCUUUCUUUCUGUCCCAUUUUUCCUUCAAUCAUGUGCAAGAAUGUUUUUUUUUUUCAUGACAGUAAGAGUGAGUCUCAUUGCAUUAAUACCAUCAUCUGAGCUAUAAAUACACAACAAACCAUAGCUGGAGUCAGUGUAAAACUGAGCUUUAACCAAGAUUUAUGGGUUUAUUGGUAAUUUCUGGAGCAAUAUUAUUGAAGUAUCUAUAGGAGUAGGUCUUCUGUAGUAAAUGUCAUAGAGUAUUGAGGGCAAGGGGAAACACAUUGUCCUGAUCACUGAGAUGUGAUCCACCUGUCUUGUGGUAAAACUCAGAGGAUCUUUGGACUUUCACACACUGUAAUGGGGUAGUAUUAAAUUGCAUCUGAUAGUAAAAGAUAAUGAUCUCUCACAGUGGGUUGACCAGAAAUUUUGAAAAUUAUAAUCCAGGGUUUCUAUCUGAAAACUAAUAAGCAGUUUAGAGUUUAGGUGUGGUUGAAGACAAUAGGGCCAUAGAUUUUAAAAACUUGUUGCUUUUUUGAAACCGAAACCUUGACCCUGGAAUUGCUUGUAGUUUUUUUUCUUUCUUCUCUCAGCCUUAAAAGGCUUUUAUUCUUAUUUCAGAAACAUAAUACUUUAUGUCUUUAAUUGUAAGCUUCUUUGUAGAUUAUGUUCUUUACUGACUUAGAAAAAUAACUUUACAACAACAUUCUGAGGCAAUCUAAAAGCCUGGGUCUGCAGUGGCACAUGUAUAAUGGCUUAUAUGACACCAUUUGCAGCCACUCUUUCAGUCCUUGCUGUACUCUUGUAUUGAUCAUAUACAACUUCAAAGCAGUGAAGAGGGAUCAAGGUAGCACAAUGAAGUACUUUGUUUAUGGGGCCCUCAAGGAAUGCUCCUAUCGCUCAGGAGCCCCUGAUCUCCUUGCAUGUAAUUUCCAUUAGGUUACGUAAGCUGGCUUCACACCAUGCUAGCCCACUUAGGGCAACUCCAUCAGUGCUGCCGUGCUGGAGGGGGGAGAAAAACAACUCUACGUGACAGUUGGUAUGUUUAUUCUUUUCUUGUUUGCUUGGAGUUGAGUGGUGUGUGACGGCGACAUAACUCAGGCUGGAGGUCUGCGUGGCUUGCUGUGUUCUGUGUGGGACCUGAUCUCCAAGGGGAAAUCAACAGUCAUGAAAUGGAGAAUUAUGGAAAACCUUGCAAAGGAGAGCUUUCAUCCUGACUCCUGUUUAACUGAUGCUGCCUUGCAAACUAGAAUGAUAGAAAUUUUAAUUGUCUACCAGUGGAAAAGACUGAAUGUUAUCUCCUGUUGUAGCUUGGAUGUUUCCCUCUUCCCUGUGAAAGAUCUGUUUUGUGGAAUCUUACAAAAGUAUGAUAUAUUCCUGCAAGAGAACAAUGUUGCCAGGAAGACAAUGAUAGCAUGCGCCAGAGUCAUUGAGCAGAACUACCUGGUGGUUUCUGGAGACACUGACACAAUUCAGUUCCCUGCCGGCUCCUGGGCUCCUAACACAACCUGAACUGUUCAAACCUGCUCCAGACUGGGACCUGGGGAGCACCGAGAGCUUGUACUUUGUGGCCUACCAGGGCCUACUCUGGGCAGCAGCCUUUCCCAGCGCCGGAGGGAUUGGUAACAGAGCAACUAUCCACAGGAGAGACUUUCUGAAUUUGUCGUCUCUUGAGAGCGGUGAAUGAGUUUUGUCAUCUGGUAUUGUUCACUUUUUGUGUUGGGGAGUGCUUUGUCUGUUAAAUAAACAGGUUUUGUCCACUUCUCUCCCAGGAAAUUUUUCCUGAAAUAGUUGCGGGGAAUCUUCCCAUAUGGAUGGGCUUUCUGGGGGGGCCCCCUAUUGGAGGUUUUCUCCCAAUUUUGCCCUAAACCAGGACACUGUUGCAUACACACAGUACUAACUAGUUUCAAUCCCUUUUCCUGGUGUUAUUCUCAUCAUUCCUUGCUCCUUUGAAUACUAAAAUAAAAAGCUUCAGUCAGGUAUUUGAGGGUAGGGAUGAUGUACCCCUUUGCCCUGGAGUAUGUUCGGUUGAUGGUAUUUUUUUAUUUUUUCUCUUUUUGCUUUGUUGUCCCUUUUAAUUUACAUAGUAGGAAAACUACUUAUGGGGUACAAAAUAAGAGUUUUUAAAGCAGAUCCCUUCAUCUGUUAACUUUUCUUCCUGCUGGAUUUCUUACCUCCUGUUUAAACAAACAUGCUUUAUUUUCUCCCUAGGAAAUCAGAGACUGUGUCAUGUUGGGAUAUUUUUCAAUGACAUUCUUGCUUGGAAUAGAUUCCCUUUCUAUGUCAGGGGAAAAUUUCAAUGGUAAGUAGAUCAGAAGCCUCCAGGAGCAAAGAGAUUUGUGCGCUGUAACUUUCCUUGAUACCUAUUCAAGAAAACUUAGGAAGAAAGCUUAUGAGACUGUAUUUUAAUUUUUCUAGUGACAAUUCCUUUUAUUGUGGAACACUUCCUUUUGUUCAUUGAAAGAGUAUCAGCAGAGUUGGGAGCAUUGGGUGCCACCUCUUCAUGGUGUCUGGAGAGUCUCUGUGAAUCUUGAAGCACUGGCUGGGCUCAGGUGUUGGGCUGUCUGUCUGCUGCUGUUAGAAUAGGAAUCUACUGCAACUUUAAGAGAAAAAAGUCUUUCAGGGAAGGCAAGAGAAGA